rnacentral:rRNA from 1 species
GACGAACGCUGGCGGCGUGCUUAACACAUGCAAGUCGAACGGAAAGGCCCUGCUUUUGUGGGGUGCUCGAGUGGCGCACGGGUGAGUAACACGUGAGUAACCUGCCCUUGACUUUGGGAUAACUUCAGGAAAAUGGGGCUAAUAUCGGAUAGGAGCUCCUGCUGCACGGUGGGGGUUGGAAAGUUUCGGCGGUUGGGGAUGGACUCGCCGCUUAUCCGCUUGUUGGUGGGGUAGUGGCUUACCAAGGCUUUGACGGGUAGCCGGCCUGAGAGGGUGACCGGCGACAUGGGUACUGAGGUAGGGCGCAGACUCCUACGGGAGGCAACAGUGGAGAGUAUUGCACAAUGGGGCGAAGCGUGAGGCAGCAACGCUGCGUGCGUGAUAACGGCCUUCGGGUUGUAAACCGCUUUCGCCUGUGACGAAGCGUGAGUGACGGUAAUUGGUAAAGAAGCACCGGCUAACUACGUG